GCAGCCCGGGGGAUCCGCCCACCCGCUGAAUUUAAGCAUAUCGCUAAGCGGAGGAAAAGAAACCAACCGGGAUUCCCUUAGUAACGGCGAGUGAACCGGGAGAAGCCCAACGCCGAAUCCCGUCGCAAGUAAAAGGCUUCGGGACGUGUGGCGCACGGGUCGAAGAUAGCCGUUCGUUCGUCUCGCGUASUUCGGAGUUCCCUCGAUCGGGGCCGCCCGUGCGGUGCCAGGCCCAUUCGGUGCGGACGGCGAGCGACGGUCUUCGAUCCGAGAGUCGGGUUGCUUGGGAACGCAGCCCAAAUCGGGUGGUAAGCUCCAUCCAAGGCUAAAUACCGGGAUGAGUCGAUAGUCGACAGUACUGAGGAAU
rnacentral:rRNA from 1 species